CCUACGGGAGGCAGCAGUGGGGAAUAUUGGACAAUGGGGGGAACCCUGAUCCAGCCAUGCCGCGUGUGUGAAGAAGGCCCUCGGGUUGUAAAGCACUUUCAGUGAGGAAGAACGCCUGGUGGUUAAUACCCAUCAGGAAAGACAUCACUCACAGAAGAAGCACCGGCUAACUCCGUGCCAGCAGCCGCGGUAAUACGGAGGGUGCGAGCGUUAAUCGGAAUUACUGGGCGUAAAGCGCGCGUAGGUGGCUUAAUAAGCCGGUUGUGAAAGCCCCGGGCUCAACCUGGGAACGGCAUCCGGAACUGUCAAGCUAGAGUGCAGGAGAGGAAGGUAGAAUUCCCGGUGUAGCGGUGAAAUGCGUAGAGAUCGGGAGGAAUACCAGUGGCGAAGGCGGCCUUCUGGACUGACACUGACACUGAGGUGCGAAAGCGUGGGUAGCAAACAGGAUUAGAUACCCCUGUAGUC
rnacentral:rRNA from 1 species